UUCAUUUUCGCAGAGACAAACCUAACUAGCUUAACAUCGCUUGAGGCUCGUCGAAGUAUAGUCAUUGAGAAGAUCGCUUUGUUUGGAUUCUUUGCACAAGAAAUUACAUCCUAACGCCGACGGAGUCGGUGAUAAUGAUUUUAAAUAUAGUAUGGGGAACGGUCUUGGUUGUAAACCUAUUUUCAACGCAGAUGGUGAAAGGUUCUGAACAACCGAAGGUGAUUUUACUUCUAUUCUUAUAUACUUCUGUUGUUUUUAAUUAUACCGUUUUCCUUCUUGCCUCUCUGAGCGUUUUUGUUAAACUGGUAGUUUUAUUAACGGCGCGCGACAUUUUUAUUUUGUACAGACGCCAAGUUACUCGACUCCCGAAGAAAAACAAGG